rnacentral:lncRNA from 1 species
AGUUCCUACUAUGCUCAUGCUUGAUGCAAAAUUUAGUCAGUCCACAUUCGUUUCUCUUUGCGUCCAAAGGCCACAACUCCUAGUAGCAUUGGAUUUUCUUCUGGCUGUUGCUGAGUUUUUUGUUCCAGCGGUUGGAGGUACUCUUUCGAAUGAUAACUCGAUGAUAGUGGAUGAGACAAUUAUACUAGACAAGGCGGUGUACAAAC